rnacentral:lncRNA from 1 species
CCGUGCGGCUGAAUUUAUCAGUUUUGUGUUCUGCUGUGCCCCCUCCUGUCCGCGUACACUUCAGCAAGGCUUUCGGCGGCAACGGCUUCUACGGUAGAAGUCUACUGUAGCGUGGUUCCACCUGGCACUUCCCACGCUUCAUGAUCAGGUACAUUGCACAGGCCGGAAGAAACGAAUGAGAAGCAGAACCAAAAUCUUACUUUGCCACCAAUGCAGCUGAUGAGGAGUGACAGAAAGGAAUACCUAGGAACUAUGCUGUGAGUGCCAUCCGUCUGGUACAGUGGCCAGUGCCUCUCGCGGCAUUCCCUUUUAAACACGCAGCCCUUGCAGCUGCCUCUGAGCAGCUAGUAACAUCAUGUCACGUGACUAAGUGGUAUGGUAGCGAGCGCUCUCCCACAGUGCCUGGUCGCAACACGCGCCU